rnacentral:rRNA from 1 species
AUUGAACGCUGGCGGCGUGCUUAACACAUGCAAGUCGAUCGGUAACAGGUGUAGCAAUACAUGCUGACGAGAGGCGGACGGGUGAGUAAUGCUUGGGAAUCUGCCUAUUAGUGGGGGACAACCCGGGGAAACUCGGGCUAAUACCGCAUACGCUCUACGGAGGAAAGCCGGGGACCGCAAGGCCUGGCGCUAAUAGAUGAGCCCAAGUCGGAUUAGCUAGUUGGUAGGGAACGGCCUACCAAGGCGACAAUCCGUAACUGGUCUGAGAGGACGACCAGUCACACCGGAACUGAGACACGGUCCGGACUCCUACGGGAGGCAGCAGUGGGGAAUAUUGGACAAUGGGCGAAAGCCUGAUCCAGCGACGCCGCGUGGGUGAAGAAGGCCUGC